ensembl:lncRNA
AAGAGAGAAUCAGCAAAGCUGGUGGUAGCAGAAAUGGACAAAAUGCUGGGAGCAGAUGCACGUGCAUUGGAAGUCCCGUGGAUGACAGAUUAUGUGCACAAGGCCAGAAGCGACAGUCUCUAGAAAGAGGAUGAUUUGGAGCAAGCAGCAACUCUCAGUCUUCCUGAAGAGAAGAAAUAACUGCCUCCCCUGAGGAUUCCUGGUUGUUUUCUAGCUGUCAAUCAUGCAUGUGAGAAGAUAAAUAUUCCCUGUUGUCUUGUACUUCCUACUGAGUGGAUCAUCCACUCAGUACAUGUAAUGUCGUGAAGAAGAGCAGCAGAACAAUUUUCUUUAGUGAUGCGUUCCUCCAAGAGGAAAAUAUUUUUAAAGGAGAACAAAAGGGAAGAAGAUACUGGAUUUAGUGAAGACGUACCAGCUAGCUUGUAGAAGUCCAUUUCUCUCUCAUGUUCAGACAUCACGCAAGAGAUGCUCACACUUGCUUUGUCAGCUGCAUACACAAAUUCAUUUGCUGUGGAAUCCCGGUCCCACUGAGGCCAAUGAAUUUUUUGUCAUUGGUUUUAAUGAAGCAAAAAUCACAUGCUAUGGCUCAGGGCUUUUCUUUCUUUCUUUUUUGUUUGUUCUUUUCUUUUCUUUUUUCUUUUUUUCUUUUCCAAAUGUUUACAUUCACAGGAACAGUUUUAUCUGGGGAGCACAGUGGUAAUAAUGUCAGUUCCAAUUCUUACACAAUAAAAUGUUUCCAAGAGGAGAAUGUCCUUGACUUAAAAUAGUGCUUAUUCUGAACAUAUUCAUACGAAUAUAAAUACUGGUAGUAUCAUCUGGAAUGAAAACUGAUGCUUAUUUUUCCAAACUGGCCCAUGUGGCUCAAAAGCCAGAAUAAGGAAAGAAUCCUCCUGAUGCAUUACUGUGCUAAUAGUAAGGCCCAUGCCCAGGUCUGUUUUGAACAUG